rnacentral:lncRNA from 1 species
AGGCCGCCCUGCUAGGGCCGGAGGGAGGUGGGCACGCCGGGCUCGGGACCUUCCCGGGGUCCUGCGCCCGCCCGGCCUCCCGCCCUGGGCAUGGUUGGCCCACUCCUCCCGCAGCCACCAACCUGACAGCCCCCGAGGGCGACUCCGCCGACAGACCGCCAUGCACCGGGCCCCGCCACCAGCGCCGGCCCCACAACCCGCCUGCGCCAUAGCCCGCCCGCCCGCGCGCAGCUUGCCUCGCGCGAUAUCCAGGUUCCAGGGCCGCCGCACUUUCCUUUCCUCUUGGCGCGCCUCUACCGGGCCCCGGAACCCGUAUAGAAAAUACCGGGCACGGUCCACCCCGCCCCCCGCUUCGCCGCGGCAGCCAUCCAACUUAUCCUGGUUCCGGGGCUCCUGGAGCCCAGGCGGCCGGGAUCUGAACCGAGCUCUUCGGAGCCCCGCCCCCACCAAGGCCGGGGUGACGCAUGGCCAGCGAGGCUGAGCGCCCAGGGAAGGCGUGCUGACGUCACGACGCCCGGGUCAGGGCCUGGGCGCGGCUCGGAGCCGGGUCGUCGCUAUAGCAAUCGGGAACCGCUACCUGUCCAUUCCAAGGAUUCGGUCCAGCAGAAGCGUGAGGAGGUGGCGGAGGCCCCGAGGGCUUUGCGUCAUCACUUCUGCGGCCUGCGGGCGAGAAGGUGCGCUUCGGGAGUAGCGCGGGAGGACAGGAGGCGCAGGUUGUGAGGGACGCAGGCCCUGGGGCUUCGGUCUCUGUCCUCCGAGCUCAGAGCCUCCAGGCUUCUUCCCGGCCGCGCGCUCAGCACUCACUGUCUUACGGUCCCGAAGCGCUUUAAGGUGCGCAGUCCGCAGGCCUUGCCUACUGAUCUUCCAGCCACCCCUUGAAGGAAGCAGUUGCAGGUAUUAAGAGCUCCUUAUUGAAAAGGACGAUGUAGAGGGGCGGUGAGGGACUCGCCUCCGCAGGGAGGGCGCCCUGGCGGUCUUCUCAGGUUCUCUCUCAUUCCCGCGUCAGCUCCACCGUCAGGCUCGAAACCGACUACUCCCUUUUGUAGGCUUGCUUUGGGUUGAACAUAAAAACCAAGCCCCUUUACUAUUUCCCUGCUGGGAGGGGCUGCGAUUGGGAAAUUUUCAGAAACCUGAGGGAAAAUUAAAAGGGAGCGAGCUUUCGGUAAAAAAUCAAAUUAAAAAGGAGGGGCGUUAGAGAAGGAACUGGUAAAGAUUGCCUUUUAGGAGAGGAACUGGGUGGCUGGAAGAAUGAGGUGAGAAACUUUCCCCUCUCUAUCCUUUCAGACUUUAACUGGUUUCUUUUGUAUCUUCCCCGCCCCGAAAACAAUUUAACUUAAUAAGAAUAAUUUUUAAAGGACGUAAACUAGACACAGUUACAAAGUACGGGGUUUGGGGCUUGUGGUAGCUAAAGGUGUCUUUGGGGAUGCGGGCAUCCUUUUCCUCUCCUGCCUGAAGAGCUUAACUAGAAAGCCCCCCUUUCGGUCUUAGACAUCCCCUCUUCCUGACUUGUUCUGGCUGGGACCAGAGUUCAGUUUAGGUAGGCCAGUGAGUGACAUUUGAUGGUUAGAAUUCCUACGGUUAGAAUUAAUCCCUUCUGUAUCUCCUAGUAUGGAAAUAAACUGCCUGGCCACUAUGCUGCCCUCUUUCCAUUCCUUUUUGGUGGAAGUUUGACAAGUUAUUUCCCAUAGAAAAUAACUUAUAGGCCGGGCGCCGUGGCUUAAACGCCUGUAAUCCCAGCACUUUGGGAGGCUGAGGCGGGCGGAUCACGAGGUCAGGAGUUCGAGACCAGCCUGGUCAACAUAGUGAAACCCCCCCUCUCUACUAAAAAUACAAAAAAAUUAGCUGGGCGUGGUGGCGGGCGCCUGUAAUCCCAGCUACUCCGGAGGUUGAGGCAGGAGAAUUGCUUGAACCCGGGAGGCGGAGGUUGCAGUGAGCCAAGAUCGCACCAUUGCAGUCCAGCGCGGGCAACAGUGUGACUCCGUCUCAAAAAAAGAAAAAAAAAAAGAAAAAGAAAAAGUACCUUAUAGAUACAGAGAGAAGAUUAAGUAGCUCCUCUUAUAAUAUGAAUUGAGGGUUAGAAAUACCGCAGGGAAUAGAACUCAGGCUGUACCUGAGUUUGUCCCUCUCCAACCACCCUUUUUCCAUAGCUCUCUCUGUAUAUAUAUAUCUGUCUUUUCUCACAUUCCUUACGGAUCGUAAUCUGAUGGCCAGUCACCUCUGCAAUUAUACAUUUAACAAGAGCUCUGGGAAACAGUGUCUGAAUCUGAAGUAAUGAUCCUAAUGGAAGGUAAUUUCAGGUUCUCAGGAGAAUUGGUGAGGAUAUUUUGGAGGGCAGUAUUGAAGACCAUUGCUAGCAGUUUCUCUCCUAUCCCUUCCACUCAACAUAUAGGCUGGUGAUCUUCAGACAUUUUUUAGAAUGAACCCAUAAAAGAAUUUUGAAGAGCUAUGUACCUCUUGUUCAUUUUUAAGUUGAUACCUAAAUUUUCCUUCAUUAAUUUAAAUACUUAUAGAGGAUACAAUUUCAAAUUUUGACAUCUUAAACUAAGACUUACAUCAUUCUUUUUUUCUGAGACGGAGUCUCGCUCUGUCAACCAGGCUGGAGUGCUGCAGUGGCGAAAUCUCAGCUCACUGCAACUUCCCCUUCCAGGAGAAUCACUUGAACUCGGGAGGCGGAGGUUGCAGUGAGCUGAGAUCGUGCCACUGCACUCUAGCCUGGGCUACAGAGUGAGACUGUCUCACAUUAAAAAAAAGUAUCCGGUGGAUUCCAAGUACCCUAAAAAUCUAAUGCCUACCAUCAUCCACUUAAAAAUAUAUGAACAAGCUCUUCAACAGAAAUUUUAUAUGGUUCUCUUUCUCCUUAUACUUUGAAUUCCAUUCACUUCCUGUAAUCAUUAGUAUAUAACUUACUAAACUUUUUUUUUUUACUAAAUAUUACUAAAUACUAAAUUUUCCUAAAUAUUUUUAACAUUUUUAUGACUUGUGAAACCUAAAAAGUACAAUUUUUAUUGAAAAUGCAUCUGUUAAUGAGAAAUAUGGUGUUUCUCCCCAAUUAGUUCAGGUAUUCAUGGAUUAAUAUUACCUAAUGGUAGAAGGAGAUAAGGUGCAACAUCAAUCCUUUACCUGUUUUUUAUUUUUAUAGACAUGAGUAUUGAGAAACCUUGUUUCCACAAUUGGGAAAGGAAGAGAUUUGUUACAAUGAUAUUCUUUGAGUCUUUGAACUUCUAAAUUAUAUGCCAACAAUCACAGAGUGAUCUAUUAAUACUAUCAAAUAGAGUCUUCUUUUAAUUUUGUUAAAAGCAAAGGAUUAGAAACCACUGAACUUCCAAAAGGAUUUAGUUAUUAGAGUCUCAGUUUUGGUUUUAUUAAACAUGAUUAUUAAUUAUCUGUGACCUUUACACUCAGAGACACUUUGUUAAUCAGAUAUUGAUUUCCAUACUUCUUUGCCUACACAAUAUUUUUUGGUAAAAUUCUUUAAUUAUUACAUGUCUUCAAGAACUUUUUGUUAAACUGAAAUGCAGAUUCAGCUCAUUCACUGUAUAGAAAACAACUGCCAUUUGUGGAAUUGGCAAAGCCAGUUUUCAUUUCAAACCAAUCAGCCAAAUCAGACCUACUUUCUGUUAGAAACAUGUCUGACUUUAUUCUUCCAUUCAAAUAAAUAUGUUAACAUUCAUUUUGAGGAAUAUUAUAAAAAUUAUUAGGAAAUAAAUGAUUAACUAUAGCUUAUAAAAUGGACCACUGAUAAACCAGUCAAGAUUAAAAUUAUUUAGACCUACUAUUAACAUAAUAAAUGGUAAAAAUAAGAUAGUACUGUUUUUCAUUAUAUAAUUAGGAAUAAUGCUGUAUAAUGUAUAGUUAAAUCCAUCAGUUUUGAGAAGUCAUAUAGAAGGCAUAUAUUCCCUUGGUAAAUGUGUGUGCCUGCUUUCAUCAAACUCUUGUUGUUCAGCUUUUGGGAACAAUUAAAUGAGAAUCAUGUCUAAAAAUCAGAAAUAACUAAUAAUCUUGUUACACAAAUUUUUUUCUUCUGUAUUUUUUAGAAAGGAAAGCUGUAUUUGCUAAGAAAUAAUGAAUUGAGCAGCUAGCAAUUUCACUUUUUACUAGGAGGUAGAAAAUAAUAAACAUUUUAUAUAAGAUAAAAUAGGAAGACUGAUUGCAAUGGGAAUAUUUUGAUAUGAAGUGGAAAAUAAUUGCUCCCUCCAAGCUCCUCAGGUUUUUACACCCUGGACCAUGCAUCAAGAUUCAGUGUAGGGGAGAGACAUUCCUUUCUUUUGUAAAGUAGGACAAGGACUAUGGUGAAAGUGGGGGCAGUGGUAGAGUGGAGAAUGUGCAUGAAUAUGUCAGCUGGCUCCCAAAUGGAUUGGUUUUUAGAAUUUUUUUUUUUUUUUUUUUUUGAGACGGAGCCUCGCUCUGUCACCCAGGCUGGAGUGCAAUGGCAUGAUCUCAGCUCACUGUAACCUCUGCCUCCCGGGUUCAAGCGAUUCUCCUGCCUCAGCCUCCUGAGUAGCUGGGAUUAUAGGCGCGUGCCACCACGCCCGGCUAAUUUUUGUAUUUUUAGUAGAGAUGGGGUUUCACCUUGUUGGUCAUGCUGGUCUCAAACUCCUGACCUUGUGAUCUGCCUGUCUUGGCCUCCCAAAGUGCGGGGAUUACAAGCAUGAGCCACUGUGCCUGGCCGUUUUUUUUGUUUUUGUUUUUGUUUUUUGAGAUGAAGUUUUGCUCCUGUUGCCCAGGCUGGAGUGCAGUGGCACGACCUCGGCUCACUGCCACCUCCGCCUCCUGGGUUCAAGCGAUUCUCAUGCCUCAGCCUGCCAAGUAGCUGGGAUUACAGGUGCCUGCCACCACGCCCGGCUGUUUGUUUUUUUUUUUUUCUGAGAUGGAGUCUUGCUCUGUUACCCAGGCUGGAGUGCAGUGGCCCAAUUCAGCUCCCUGCAACCUCCCCUUCCUGGGUUCAAGAGAUUCUCCUGCCUCAGCCUCCCAGGUAGCUAUAAUUACAGGUGUGCACUGCCACACCCGGUUAAUUUUUGUAUUUUUAGUAGAAAUGGGGUUUCACUAUGUUGGCCAGGCUGGUCUCAAACUCUUACCUCAGGCGAUCCGCCCGCUACAGCCUCCCAAAGUGCUGGGAUUACAGGUGUGAGCCAGUGCACCCGGCCUGGUUUUAGAAAAUAUUUUAUAGGGAAGUUGAGGAUCUGGAAAUUUAUUCCUUUAAAACUCUCCUCAGACUGAUUUGAGGCUAUUUCCUGGGUAUUCCUUGCAGUCUUACGUACCCUAGGAAAAAUCUUCAUUUACCCCACUUGGAAGACUUCUUAAUAUAGGCAUAUCCAAACUCCAAUGUCCCUGACUAUCCAUUAUUUUGAGACACCAAAGCAAAUGUCCUACGAAGUAAGGAGGAAGACGUGUUGUUCUUAGAAUAGAAGUGAGUUAUGAGAGAAGUCAAAGAGGAUGGCUCCAAGUUGGUAUAGUGUGAAGGUCAUGGAUAUGGUCCUUGGCUUUGCAGUUCUAGAAGUGUGAUUUUGGGUCAGUCCACACAAAGGUGUUCAUGUUUUGUCACAUUAAAUCAAACUCAUAGGAAGUUAAUGUACAUAAUAGAAUGCCAGUGCAUUCUUUUAUACUUACAGCCACCAAGUGAACUGGAUUAUCGCUCCUGUUGGGUAAAUCUUAUCUGGGAAGAUCAAUUAUAAUCAGAAAGUUACAUGAGGAGUGUGGAUCUUGAGCAUGGCUAUUGUCAAUAAGCUGAUGAGCAGGUGCUCACUACCUGGCAUAUAAUAGGAUCUCAGUAAUUAUGGAAUGAAUGUACUUCAUCUGUAUCUUCAUUAUAGAUGCUAAAGGGUAAGUUUAAGAUUCUGAUAGGCCACCCCACAUGUUUUUUGAUCAGGUAGAUUUUUCCUUGUUGCUCAAGUUAUACUCUUAAAUGGCUAUAUCAUGUAGAUAUUAAAUCCAAUAAAAUUUCAUGAAAGGGAAUUAUAUAAUUGCAACAGCAAAGUUUUAUCUAUAUCUCUGAGCCUAGAAAUUGGGACUGUUCAUUUAUAAUAGAGAUUGGAGAUUGCUUUCUCCUGCCCUGUAGGAGUAGUGAUGGUGGUAGUGACUAAAUGAUCUGUAUUUCACAAUACUAUUUGGUGGCUAAGAGUGUACUGCAUACAAAGAAUGACACUGGGUGACCCUCAGUGCUGGCGCUUUCCUAGAGGUGGGACAUCCUGAGUAGGGAGGUGCUGAACCACCUGUGGGCUGGCCAGCUGUUGUGGACUGUACUGUGGAGAGGAGGAACAAUAAAUUUCCCCCACUCCUUAGAUCCCCCUCAGGAGAUAAUACUUGAUGCUGCUUUUAAGGACAGAGAAAAGACAAGCCUUUUCAAAUUUUAAAAUCAUUAGGGAUGAGUUGCCAAAAAAUUUGGGUUAAGUUUUAUCUGGAAGCCAGAAGACAUUGUCUCCUCAAGGCUUUUUCUGGCUCUGGGAUAAGCUAUUGAGAUAGAGGAAAAGAUGCCGGGCUGAGGAGUUUCAUUUAGUAUUUUAAUAAUAAUAAAAAAGACAUACAAAAUCCAAACAUUUCUUUUUACAAUUCAGAUACAUAUUUUUCCCCAAGUGCAAAAUACUCUAUGAACUGCAUCAUUUGCUGUUUAUUGUCGAUUGUAUAGGAGAUGCUUACUAAAUUGGCAGCAGUGGAAGGCAGAUAUAAAUACAAUAUUUUGAAAUUUCUUCUGCAUUUAACAAAAAGCCUCCCACAUGGCGAUGAUUAUUCUGAAACUUGAGUUCAGCUCACACAGAAGUAUAAAGUUUUCAGUUUGUUCAAACUGCUACAACCUGUGGUGUCUAAAAAAGCUGAUGACAACUGGGGGUUCUAUUCCUUCUAAUCAUAUAUUUCCUUGUACAAAUAAUGGCACAAGGAUAGGGUGUGCUACUUUUGAGACGGGUCAAAUGUAAAAAUAUCCUUGUGUUGUUCGCUCCCACUUUUAUUGUGCUUAAGAAAGAAACCUGGAGGGUUAACAUUUUCUGCUUAUGCUCAGUUAUACUUUGUCUUGGUACCCCUUGUUUGUGGCUGUAAUAUUGAGGUUAAGCAGCAAAUACAAAAGUUCGAGUGCUCUAUAACGUUUUCUGACAUUUUGAGAUAUGACCUCAUAAUCCAUUCCAGAGUCACCUCAAACAUGUAUAUAGAGAACACUUCUCAUAUAAAAAGUUUCUCUAGGGCCAAAGACCAGGACUGUGUUACUGAACUUUCAGCAACAAAUCUGAGUCUCCACCACCUCAAACUGACCAAAUCUUGGGGGCUGUUAAAGCAGUCACAGCUCAGUGCCAGCCUUUGGGGAUUUCUAGGCCUGGAGCAGGCAGCUCAGAUCCAGGAUCUGGUCAGUUUUCUUCUGACUCCAAGAGUUGUCUCAGGUUGUAGGAAUAGGCAUGGCCUGAUAAUAUAGAAAGAGGGAGGCAGAGAAGUAAAGAGGAACUGCCAUGUUGCUGAGGAUAUAAGUGCCUUUCUGGUGUGCAUUACUUGGUGCGUGAAGCCCUCCCAUUUCCAGGCUCAGAGCAGGUGAGGUUUUGUACUAAGAUGAAUGGAAGCCCCACAAUACUGUCGCCCCACACCCUACACGCUGCAGAGAGGCCUCUGGGUUGCUUCAUGAAGGGAUCCUAUUUAUACCAUCUUUCCAUUUCCCUCCAAUGGUAAAAACCUCUCUUCUGUCUGACCUGUAAAGACCUAGAAUGUCCCUGAGCGUUGACUCCUCAUUCAAUCCAGUUAACCCCUAGUUUGAUGUCCCAGGGCCAGCCUCCUCCAUAGAUUCAGCAGCAGCUUUGCCUGGGUUCUUAACCCUCCAACUUGGAGGACCUAAAUUAAACUUGGUGGACAAUAGCAGGUUUUUACCUGCUCACCAAGAUCUGCCUUGACAUCAAUUAAGAAGCCUAGUGGUCUAUGCCUUCCGUACUGUGGAACUCAUUUGCAGGUCUCAUAAGCCAUGGAAUAAAUGGUUGAAGGAUGUGUAUUUGUAUGUAUGUAUGCAUGGUGUGACAGGAAAGGAAGGGAGAAAGGAGAAGCCAGACCCUGAAGGCAUAAAUUAAGAAGCAUGGUCACCGUUUGGCUUUCCAAGAGACGCAAAACGGCUGGCAGAGAGGAAUCAGAAAGUUAUCCUAGGCUGGGCGCGGUGGCUCAUGCCUGUAAUCCCAGCACUUUGGGAGACUGAGGCGGGUGGAUCACCUGAGGUCAAGAGUUCAAGACCAGCCCGGGCAACAUGGUGAAACCCCAUCUCUACUAAAAAUACAAAAAUUAGCUGGGCGCGGUGGCGCAUGCCUGUAAUCCCAGCUACUUGGGAGGCCGAGGCAGAAUUGCUUGAGCCUGGGAGGCGGAGGUUGCAGUAGGCCGAGAUAGCACCAUUACACUCCAGCCUGGGUGACAGAGCGAGACUCCAUCUCAAAAAAAAAAAAAAAAAAAAAGAAAGAAAGAAAGAAAGUUAUCCUAGCUUCUGGUGGAGAAUUAGGAUAGUCAGAGUUGAUUAAAGCAGUUUUCAUGGUGCUUCCUGGGAAGUACAGAGACACUCAUACUAAAUGACCAUUUCCCUUGUUUGGAAGCAGCCAUUUUGCAUCUUUACAGUGGCCCUCCUUGACCCAGAAAGACAAAGGUAGCCAGACACUCUACCCACAAGGACCAUGAUGUUGGCUAAUGGUUGUCAGGGAAUCUAGCUGUGUCAUUGGCUACCUACUGCUAUGGCCGUUUUGGCUGAUGAAUGCUACUGAUGGGAGGGCAGGGAGUCAGACUCCUUUAUUUAGUGUUGAGUCUCCUGGGGGAGCAGUAGCCUAGGACAGUCACCUAGAAAUGAACCUGAGCUGUUCUGUGAGUUACCAGGAGAGUUAAAAAGAAAAAAAAAAAAAAAAGAAAUGAACCUGAGGACUCAGUUGGUAGCCUUUGAUUGAUUGGGACUACAGCUUUGGGGGAACUAGAGUGAGAAAACAGAAAAUAAUUUUAUAGGCAACACUUGGAUUAAGGGCAGAAUGUGUGCAGGCUUUGGGCUUGGGCAUGGACUUGAUUCUUCUUCCAUUUGAUUCUUUCUUCCUUCUGAAAAACAGUAGUUGAGGAAGCUAAGCUUGAAGUCAACUUCAAAGGGAAGUGACCAGAGCCAGGCAAAUAUCUGAUGCCUUCUGUCUUAUUCUUGGCUCCCACAGCUUUGUCUCUGGCCUCGGGACCCUGAGUCAGCCCAUCCCCAGGUGGUAUGUCCUGGUCCUCUUCCAUGUGUACACCAGGGGAUAACAGGAUGAAGACAGGGAAAAGAUGGAGGUUUUCCCUACUUGGGGUAGAGAAUCACUGACCAGUUCCAUUGGCCUCUAUAAUCAUGAGGUCCACACUGACUCCAUGGAGAGGCAUAGGGAUAGCAAGAUUGGUUUAGCAAACAUAGGUCUCUCUCCUUUCUGCUCCAUCAAAUCCCCAGAAUUACUUUCCUACACAUCAGAUGCCUCUGCGCAAUUACCCUGGAUUACCACAGCCAAGGGCUCUAGGUGGCCAGUGGUGGCAUAGAGACAGAUCAGAUGCUCCAGCACUCAAGGUUCAUGAGAUUCAAAACCGAUUUUCUUCCACUCCAAACAUACACUCUUUUCUCUUGGGCAGCUAUAAAUAGGGUUUUGCUAAUAGAGGAAGAAGAAACAAAAACAAAAAACAAACCCAGAAAACAAAAACCCCUCCGUCUAGACAACAUAGAAAGACUCAAAAUGAUUGCACUUAUUAGGUGUGGACAGGGUGGGCAGGAGGCUCGCCAAGUGCACACACAUUCCUUUUGCUGCCCACAGCCUGAGGCCAGAGGUAGGUGGCUCCAGGCUGGCUUCAGAGUGGGGUCCUCUUUGGUGAAGCCCACAAGCCAGCUGGGGCUACAAGGGAAAAACAACUGUAGGGCAAGGCCUAGGCUGGCUUCAGGUCAAUAACCAUGUUUAAGGACAACAUGUAGCAAGGGGAGUAGGGCUCCCCCAGGGAGCAUCACAUGGGGCUGAGGAGGUGGCUGGGCCAGGGAAGACAAGAAAAGGGAUUAGUGUUUGAAGUUGACUUCCAAUUGUUCUGUGUCUAGUCCUUUAGAUGAUACAUUUUUUCUUUCUGUUUUCUUUUUUUUGGCAAUGCUUUAAAACCUUGUUUCUGUCCUGCAGAGUUACAGUCUUUCUCUCAGGGAGCUACAGCGGGGCAUUCACCAUGACAAUGCCUGCUGCUCUUCCUCAUUUAGCCGGUGUCCACUAACUCAGUGUUGUGGGCCAUUUGUAAACCCUUAUGGAGUAGACCCCAGGCAGACGUAGGGAAAGAAAGAGAGGAUCUGUAUAGACAAGAAAGCUGGCCAUGUGGGAAGUCCAGAGCUCAAACCAUGUGCCCCAGAGGACUGGUGCUGGCAUUAAGCCUGUAAAUCAAAGGCUUCUUUGGCAGGACCCUGGGCUGUUAGAAUCACCCUAGGGAGCAGAGCCAGGGGACAUUUUGGCCCCUGACUAGCAAGGCACAACCCUAUAAUGGCAGAAGCCCUUCUUUCCCCUCCCCGUUUCCCACCAGACCCACUUCCUUGAUGGGCCUCUAGCACCCUUCCAAGCUGAUGGGGUCGGGAAUGUGAGCUGGUAAAAUGGGCAGUGGAAGGGGCUGUACUGUUUCUUUACAUCUCACGGGGACUAGAGCCAGUACUGAAUGGCUUUUCUAGGUAGUGUGUUAGAAAAGGGGGAACAGUAGAGAGGCAGGCAGAGAGAGACAAGGAAAGGAAACUAGAAAGACAGAAAGGGAGAGUGCCUGGUUUGUGUAGUGAUAUUUUUUUUUUCCCUCCAAAAAGAGAGGAGAGAGUUCCUUGUCUGAGGGUAGGGGGCUGCCGGCUCUGAGGGCUAAGGAGUCUGGGGGCUUAAAAAAUUGGGUCUCUGAGCCUAGGGUUACUAUUUGUAGGGCCUCAGGAAGCUGGAAACUUUGGAGCGGAGCAGCUUGAUGAAGGAUUUUGGCAGCAUCUCCUUGUGUUUCUCUGUGUACUUGAAGUAGUUCUGGGGGUGGGCUAGCACCUCAAAGAAGGCCUUGAUGAGCUUCUUGUCCUGCAAAGGAUGGCAGGGAGCAAUGUCAGCCUCACCGUCGGGGGUGGGAAAGAGAAACACCAUGACUCAGCAGCCCUUCUUGAUGUCUACUAGGCAUCCUAUACUGAAUAUAUCCAGAGGGCAACUCUGGAUUCCCAUUCCCACCAUCUGCCCUUAUUCUGGAAUUCCACAACUGAAUCAGUGGCAGCUCCAUCCUUCUGUUGCUUAGGCCCCAAUCCUUGGAGCCAUCCUUGAAUCCUCUUUCUUGCUUACAAGUAUAGCAAAUCCUAUUGACUCUACCUUCAAAAUAUGUCUGGGUCUGACCACUUAUCAUCUUCCCAAGCCACCACUGUCUCUGACUUGGAGUACUGUAGUAGCCUCCUAACUGGUCUCCAUGCUACCUUUGUCCCUCCGUAGACUCUUCUCCCCACAGCAGCCAGAGUGACUUUUUGUGUUUUUAAUUAGUUCAUCUUUUUCCUGUUUGAAACUCUUCUCUGGUUUCUUUUAUCACUCAUUGGCAGAAUGUGAUCUGUAUCUUGCUUUCCACCUCCACUCUUGCUCCCUCUGCUGAGCCACACUGGCCUUCUGGAGGUUCCUGAACACACUAAAUUGCUCCCAUGCUCCUUAGCUUGGAAUGCUCCUCCCUCAUCUUCUAAUGGGGAGCCCUUUUACCUCAUUUGGGUCUCUUCUCCUUAGAGGCCUUUCCUGACCACCCUGUCUACAACAGUAGCAUGGUAUGUGGAGAGCCUACUAGGUGCCAGGCACUGUGCAUUAAAACUCAGGUCUUCUGGCUCCUAGGCUGGUGCUCCUUCCAUGGCGUCAGUGGAUUUUUCAAAUAAGAAGUAGGGGUUUCAGCCUCUUACCCCACUUUAAUCAGAACAGCUGCACUGCUUUAUGUGUUGGAAUUCCACAGUACAUUUGAUUUGAAAUAAGGGUUCAGAUGCUUUAAAAAUGUUUGAAAAGUAUUAUUAAAAGUAUAUUCUUUGAAGUCUGCAAGUUCUAGGUGAUUUUUGUUGUCAAGGCUUUUAUUUUGAUGAUAAUAUAAAAAUAUUUUGCUAACACUUAACUUUUUUGCAGUGAUAAUUUAUGAAGGAUAAUUCUAUGACUACGACUAUAGUUUCCUUUUUUUUUUUUUUUUGAGACUGAGUCUAACUCUUGUUGCCCAGGCUGGAGUGCAAUGGCAUGAUAUCAGCUCACUGCAACCUCUGCCUCCCCGGUCCAAGCAAUUCUCCUGCCUCAGGGUCCCGAGUAGCUGGGAUUGCAGGCGCCCGCCACCACACCCAGCUAAUUUUUUGUAUUUUUUUAGUAAAGACGGGGUUUCACUAUGUUGGCCAGGCUGGUCUGGAACUCCUGACCUCAGGCGAUCCACCCGCCUCAGCCCCCCAAAGUGCUGGGAUUACAGGCAUGAUCCACCAUGCGCAGCCAGACUAUAGUUUCUUAAGGAAGAUUUUCUUAAAUUGGGAUUCACCGACCCAGGGCAUCUAGUCCAUUCUUCCAUGUUGGAAGUAUUUAUUUUCCUUGAAAAGAAGUCUGUACAUAAAUUGAUUCUGAGAAAGCUGUGCUAGAUCUGCCGCUGCUUUUUUUGUUUUUGUUUUUUUGAGACAGGGUUCACUCUUGUCACCCAGGCUGGAGUGCGAUGGCGCCAUCUCGGCUCACUGCAACCUGCGCCUCCUGAGUUCAAGCAAUUCUCCUGCCUCAGCCUCCUGAGUAGCUGGGAUUACAGGCGCCUGCCACCGCACCCGGAUAAUUUUGUAUUUUUACAAAAUUAAGACGAGGUUUCACCAUGUUGGCCAGGCUGGUCUCAAACUCCUGACCUCAUGUGAUCCACCCGCCUCGGCCUCCCAAAGUGCUGGGAUGACAGGCGUGAACCACCACACGCAGCCUAUCUGCUGCUGCUUAAUGAGGCCUGGGGAGAGAAUAGGGGAAGGAAGGGACUUAUGCAAAAGUAUCUUUCUAUACUUCACUUUCCCUAUGUCUCUUGGAAGAGGUAGGGACAUUUCUUCUCCUCACUUUCCCUUUCUCUUCCAAGUUUUCCCCAAGGUGUAAUAUAGUGUGGGUGACGCUGCAGUCGGAUAGGCUUGGGCUCAAAUCCCAGCUUCCCAUGGGGCAGGUUCUUUAACUCUCUAUACCCCAGUUUUCCCAUCUGUAAAGAAGCAAUGGAGAAAGCACCUACCUCAUAGAGCUAUUGUGUCUAUCAAGUGAGAAUAUUCAUGUAAGCACUUAGCCUAUUGCCUAUAUAUUGUUACAUGCUUAUUAAAUGUUAGCUAUCAUUAUUGUUAAUAUUCAUUCACCUUUAAAAUCUCCUGGUGGUUUUCAGAGGCAUAGAGCCGGCCAUCUCGCACAAUGUCUUCUACCAGCUGCUCAUAGUCCUCUGCAAAGUCAACCAAGGUGAGGGGCUCAGGGGCGGGAGCUCUUCCUGCUCUCCUGGUUCCCUCUCAAAACUGACAUACCUCCCCUUCUCACCCACCUCCUUGGCUUACCAUCAUAGGUAACAUAGGGAAUCUGGAAGCCACGGGCGCUGUUGGCCUCGCUUGUCUUGAAGUUGAUCCAGAGCUUCCUGGAACGGGCAGUGAAGGCAAUGGGACGCUCGUAGGUCUGGCAGGUCUCAUAAGUGGUAAUGGAGGAUGGGGAUGCUGGGAAGGCAAGCAGCAGGUCAGUAGAGCAGCAGGGCAGGCUACCCAAGCCCUCCUAGAACGUGGGCUGUACAGCUGGUGGUGGGGGUAUAGGGCAAGAGAAUCAUUCUGACAAAGGCUCCCCCUUCGCAUACACACACCCUACCCCACACCCUCUCCCAUUGCCCACUGGGCUCAUUCCACAAUUCCUCCUUGAUACCUGGGCACUCACAUAGUGUAAUAAAUAUGACAUUUAAAUGAAUGGAAUGGCAAAAAUGCUAGGAUAGGAAAGUGAUACAUGUAACGCCAUUGGAGUUCUAGCCCCACUGCUAGCUUUCUUAACUCUGUUUUCUACCAAACAUGUGUCAUUGCUGUUUUCCUUUGUUAGCUUCUCUCUUCCUAAAGGCCUCUCACUAUUUCACCCUCAUAGAUCCCUAACUUCACUGCCCCAUUUCUUCCUGUAUCAGUCUCUCUCUUUGUUCUCCGCCUUAACCAGAUUUGGACUGCCCUUCCCUGGCCCAGCUCUGCAAGCCACCCACAGUUCUUUCUCAUGACGAGGACGUCCCCACACUCAUCCUCAGAUGGCAGGAAGAUCUCUGGUACCACGAUAAGGAUCUUGCGCUUGGGUGGGGGGUUGAUGUUCCAGAUGCACUCCACACCAGCUGGGUAGUUGCCCGGGUAGUUGGGGGACUCAAUAUAGCCAGUGAACUCACCCAGCUCCCCACCACACUGACGAUCUGCAGCCAAACCCCAGUGGAUAAAACAAGACAGAGAAGGGAAGUCAGUGGGGAAGUGUGCUGGGGGAAUUGAAGAGUUCUGAAGUAGAGGUCAGACAUUUAUGGGAAGUCUGCGUUCUAGUUCAUCAUUAUUUUCCAAGCUCUGAGUCCAUCUUCCUUCCUGCCCUUUUAGUACCUUCUCUUCUCACUUCACCUGUCUCUGCUUCCUCAUUAACUGUCUCCAGGGAGAGGGUGUUACAGGGUCCAGCCUAGCAACUGGCCUUGAGAUUGAGUGAGUUGGGGAGAGGUGGAAGGUGGAGUUUUCCUGCUCCUCCACCCCCCAGCCCUGCUCCCUGUUGGUUUCACACCCCUCCUUUAGAUGUCCACUGCUCCCAGGCCUCUCUCCUCCCUUUUGCACAGCCUGGCUUGCCACGUACUCUUGCAUUGGGCCACACUGGUAGAGCCAUCAAAGUCUGUGCUUGUGUUUCCUGGACAGCGGCUGCAGAAGUUCUGACGGAAGUCGGGCUGAUAGGAGCCCAUGGCACAGCGAAUACAGCGGUGGAUGCUGGUGUUGUAGUAGUGCCCUGGGGAGCACUGGACUGUAGGCAAGGGAGAAGGGCAGGAAUCAAGAUGGUAGGCAGGUGGGAGUUACGGGGCAUGGGAUGGACAGGAUACAUUCAUCCUGGAGAAUCAGGAGAUCAGAUACAUCAAAGUUCUUUUCUAGGGUCUCAAUCUUUCCCAGUCAUGCCAGAAUUUAAGCCCACGGAAAAACAGAGUUUACAGAGUGGUUGGCUACAGUGCCAAUCCUUUUCUUUCAGACGCUGAGCACAGUGCCAAACCUAUAUAGAAACUCAUUUGGGAUAUGGAGGAGAAUAUGCCACCAGUUCUCCAAAGUGGAGGGGUGAAGCCAUGCCUCCCUUUCCCUCACCUGUGUAAACUGGGUAUGAAGACAGAGGACACCAGGAAAGAAGCCAGAGAAAGAGGAACAGUGAUGAAGGUAAGGAUGGAGAUUGGUCACAUUGGUCGGAUAGGUAACUGGGGGUUGCAGCUGGUUGCAAUGAGCAGCCAGGGAAUGUAGGAACCUGGGAAGUGGCUCUGGGUGCAGGCAGAGCUAUGGCCAUGGUGCUGAGGUUGGAGGGGCAGGGUGGGGAAAGGCAGCUGAGCCUCACCUCCUUGUGGAGCAGGGACCAUUUCUGUGGACAGGCCACAGCCCUGUCCUUCCUCCCCUCCCCCCUGUGCCUGGGCUUGCUGCCAUAUUCCCUAGCCUUUCUCCUAUUUUGGCUUAACAAAACAAAGUCUGACAACUUGGCGGGGAGGGAUCUGGGGAGAGCUGCCAGGCCACACCCUAGAUGGUGGGGGUGGGGGGCAGGGAGAACAGUAGGCUCUCACCCCCAAAUCACCACCCCUAGGUUCUAGAGCCAAGCUCACCCUGGAGCCCCCAAUUCAACACCUUGAUUCCAUCUCUAUGCUAGCUACUGCCCUCCCAAGUCCAUGGCCCUUCUCAGUUUGCCUUGGCCCAGGAGGCAUCACGUAGAUUGGUUGUCAAAUGGAGCAGCUAGAAUCUGGGCUCCUGAGGGCUUCAUCUGCCCCUCUCUUCCCAUCCUCUCUGCUGAGAUCCUGCAACCUUCUCUUCCCCUUCUGGCCAGGGCAGAGAGGCCCAGAUCCAGCUGGCUCUUGCCCAAGAGAUGCACCUGUUGGAAGAGCUAAGGUGUACUUUCCUGUGCUUUGCUCCUGUCUCUACCCUGUCUUUUGCUGUUCUCUUGACUUCUCCCCAUCCCUGUCUUCCUGCUCUUGCCACAUUCUACAUGCCAUCCUUCUGUCUGCUCCCUUACUAUCUAACCUUGUGGCUUUGCUACUCUAGCCAAGCUCUUUCCUCCAAUUCUCAGUGGGGAAGCUAAGGCCCAGAGCAUGGACAACUUUCUCAAAAUUCCCCUAAGAGCCAAAGGUAGUAUUGAGACUUUGAACCCUAACCCUAGGUAAUCUUUGUCCCUUGACCCUCUCUAUACCUAAUCAUUCUCUUGUCCCUCUGGUUGGUUCUCCCCAAAACACUUAUAGGGAAAUGAGAUGUGGUGACAAUCAGGGGCCUAGAAAAGUCAAAGGCAGCCAAAGAACUCAGAAGCUUAUGUGCAUGUCCUGUAGGCAACUCACUGUCCUGGUCUAAGUGCCACAGCUUCCCUUCCCAAAGGAGUUUCAUAAGAGGCCCUCAAGGGUGACUGGGCAGAUAUGAGGCCCUUCCCUGGAAGCUAAAAUGGUAGGAGAGGUGACCAGGGCUGGGAUUAAGGGCCCAGCAGAUAUCAGGGUUUGGAGGCCAGGGUUGGGUGUAGAAACCUAUAGCCUGGGUCCAAUGAUGGGUUAUGACUAGGUUUGGAGGCAGCUCUGCAGUAAGGAGGCUCUUCUCAGCCAAUAGGACUUAAGAGAAUUCAUCUAUUUGGUCAAUUGGUGGGUGAGGACCAGCCCAGCCUGCUUUUCUGGGCAUCAUUCCUUUUGUUUCUCUUCCUUUCCUGGUCCUUUAUGCUUCUAGUGCCUGUUUUCUGUUGUGGCUACAGGGUGAAGUAAUUUGGGAGAAGGCCCUGGGUUCAAAUUUCAAAUCCUUUUCUGCUAUGAGCUUCAGAUUUUCUGCUUGGGGAAGAGUCUGACUUGGUCCCAGUAAUUUUCCAAAAUGACAGAGACCAAAGUUGAGUUCAGUUCCUUAGAGAUUCUCUUAUCUCUGAUCCAGCUCCUGGGACAAAGGAGAUCAGUGAGGAGAGGGUGAGACUGGAGAUUGCAGGAAGAACUGGGAGAAAACAAGCCUGUAAGGGUCAGAGGCUUCCUGGGGCAUAGGGAUGCACUGUCGUCAUCAUCAAAAACAUUCUUCCCAUUACUGAGCUCCUACCAUGUGCUAAGGAUUGUACAGGGCUCUUUUCAUAUGUUGUCUUGUGGUGAUCCGCACAGCAGCCUUCAAGUGGGUUAUUACCACCCCAUUCUAUUUUAUUGUUAUUUUUUGAGAUAAGAUUGCUCGAUCUGGAGCGCAGUGACACAAUCACAGCUAACUGCAGCCUCGACUUCCUAGGCUCAAGCCAAGGAAGAGCUCCCAAGUAGCUGGGGACUACAGGUAUGCACCAUCAUGACUGACUAAUUUUUAUUAUUAUUAUUUUUUGUAGAAACAGGGUCUCACUAUGUUGCCCAGGCCUGUCUUGAACUCCUGGGCUCUAGCAGUCCCUCUGCCUCGGCCUCCCAAAGUGCUGGGAUUACAGGUGUGAGCUACCACACCUGGUCCCACCCCCAUUUUAGAGAGGAGAAAGAUGAGAUUUCCAGAGAUUGGCUGAUUUGCCCAAGACCCAAGGCUAGUAAGCAGCAGAACCAAGAUAUCUGUGUGGAGCCAAAUCAGCUUCCUACCAUGCCUCACCACUGGCUAAACCCACUAUUCCCAUCUCCUGGCCCUUGCCCUAGGAGCAUUUCGUAGCAGCUUUUCCUCUAAUGUUUUUCAUCCAGCAGGAUUUUUCAUCCUAAGUGGCCAGUCUCAAAGGGGAGGCUGACCUUAUUCUCUUGUGAAUGUAGCUCUUCUUGAUCACUCUCUCCUCCUUCCCUGGGAAAUAGGAAAUGCUGAAAAGAUCUCUUUCUCCACAAGACAUCCCUCCACCAAAUCCCCUCUCCUUUGCUUACCCAGACAGUUGUGUCCGUCAUGUGCCAGGUGGAAUCCAUCAUAGCAGGUACACCGGUAAUUGCCAGGGAUGUUGACACAGUCAUGCACACAACCUGCAUUAUCCUCUCGCUCGCACUCAUCCACGUCUGUGGGCAAAGGGAAGCUGAGACAGCUGAACCCACCUGCGAACCCACUGUCCACCCCCAGACUCAGCCUUAUGGUUGUGUUUACAUAGUUAUGUUCAUGGCCUAUAAGCCAUUUAGCAUUUUUCUGUUUUCAUUUAAACCUAAGUCAUGAACAUUUUCAGGUCUCCAUCCAGUCUUUCUAAUUACCAUUGUACAUGGUUGCAGAAUAUUAUUUUUCUAUUUUUUUCUCUAUUGUUAGAGAUUUAGAUUUCUUUAAUUUAUUUUACCAUCAUAGAUAAUGCAUCAAAGAACAUCUUCUCCCAUGUAUUAUUUUGUUACUUUGAAUAAGUCCCCAAGAGUAAAAUUCCUGGAUCAAAGGAAAUACCUUUUAAGAUUCCUGGUAGGUAUUACAAAAUUACUUUUCAAUUUAUAAUGCAACUAGGAAUUAACAAGUGUACCCUGUCCACUAAAGUCUCACCAACACUGAAGCUCAUAAAUUUAAUAUCUCAAGGCUACUUUAAUUUGCAUUGAUUUAAUUAUGAGGGGAAGAUGUGUUUACAUUAUGAACUUCCUCUGAAGCACACUUUCUGUUCCCAUCCAUUGUGGAUGUGGUGUAAGGGUCUAAAGAUAAAGGUUCCAAUGUCAGGGAACCUCAGGUCUUAGUCUUAUGAUUUUCAUGCUCCCACCCCAGCCAGGUUGUGGGCUGUGAACUGUCCCCACCAGGGCCUCUGCUAGCCUGCAUGGUGCCUUUGUGCAAAUUAGAAAAUGGCACCCUCUCUGGGAAGAUGCAGUUGCCCCCCUCACCACCCCCCCACCACUUGACCAGUGGAAUUUCUAGCCUUGAUGUGAUGGAGAGUGGCCAACUGAGGGCAGUGGCACUGGUUUGCCUUCUUCCACAGGUCCCUCUCCUCCAGGUGCCCUUCCAGCCUCACCUUUGCAGUGUUUGCCGUCCCCUGUGUAGCCAGACUUGCAGAUGCACUUGUAUGACCUCGGGGUGUUCUGGCAGAUAGCAUCGAUGUGGCAGUUGUCAGUCCCCUCCACACACUCAUCCACAUCUGGCAGGGGCAGAGGGGGCACAUGAGAACCUCUGUUGGCACCUCUUAAGGGGUGUCUUGAAGGUGGGCUUCCAAGGGCAGAAUCCCCUCUUCUCUAAAACAGAGGCAGUGACCCCCUCCAGAAACAGGUGCUGUCUCACAUCUCUCUGAUUUCAGAGUAGGCAGACACUGAUUUUGGGAAUUCAGAAGGAACCCCCACUGCCCUCAAAAAUACUAAAUUCACAGUGACAGCUAAAACUCCAUCAUUCGAAACACUCCUUUUUUUAUUUGAAAACAAACAAAAAACCCUUAGAGUGGGUAGUACACUUAACUUGAUUAGGAAUAAUCAACUUAAAGUGAAUGAGUUUACGGAGAAGGCUUAGAGGGAAAGUUAAGGGAAAAGGCAUGGGAACAGUGGUCUCUGGGAAGGUGGCAGGGUCCAGCAAUCACUAGUAAAGGAGGAAGAAAGGGGGAUGGGGCAUCUGAGGGAUCUUCAUCUGUGUCAUGAUUCUGCUUGAGACCAGGCCUGCUUCCACUUGCCCACCAUGGAGCCAAGAAGCUUUAGAGGAAAAAUGUUCCAUCCUGGAUGAUUUUCCUCGGCCCCUGUGCUGCCAACAAUGGAGACAUCCAGAGCUGGCAGAGGUUGGCACCAGCUACCUGAAGCCUAAUAAGUGCAGCCCUUCAGGCCCUAAUCCCCAGUGUUUAGCCCUCUGUCUCCUGGCCCUAGCUCUAACAAUAGGUGCUACACACACAGCUAUACUUGAAGGAAGAGGCCACUCACCAUCUAGCAAAAAAGAGGAUGGUUAGGAAAGGACAUAGAUGAUGCCAGGCGCGGUGGCUCAUGCCUGUAAUCCCAGCACUUUGGGAGGCCAAGGCAGGUGGAUCAUGAGGUCAGGAGUUCGAGACCAGCCUGACCUUGAUGAAACCCCAUCUCUACUAAAAAUACAAAAAUUAGCCAGGUGUGGUGAUGUGUGCCUGUAAUCCCAGCUACUCAGGAGGCUGUGGCAGGAGAAUCGCUUGAACCAGGGAGGCGGAGGUUGCAGUGAGCUGAGAUCGCGCUAAUGCACUCCAGCCUGGGCGACAGUGAGACUCUAUCUCAAAAAAAAAAAAAAAAAAAAAAGGACAUAGAAAAGAGUCCAACUUCUGAGGCAAUAUUAUGGUGCCCUUAAAUCUGAACUGAAAUAGAGAAACAUGUUAUUCAGUUGAAAACGCCUUAUUGAGUGUGUUUGUGAAAGACACUAUAAUGAUAGCUGUGGAGGCUCAAAGGUGACUCAGCCCAGCCAAAAGGAGAAACAAAAAACAUGGAGCAGAAUGUGGUACAUGCCCUGAAGACAUGAGAGAUAAGGUGAGGGGGUCCUCCACCCUGCACAUCAGAGUCAACUCUCCUAGGAGAUGUCCAAGCCACAACCCCAGAGAUUCUGGUCAGAUAGCCUGGACUGGUGCCGGGCCAUCAGUAUUUUUCUAAAGCUCUUCCAGUUAUUCUAAUGUGUAGUCAAGGUUGAGAACCUGUGUUACGGGGCAGAUCAGAGGAGAAAGAGAUUACUUCCAGCUGGAAACUGGGAAACCCAAAAUAGUGUCUUAAGUAGCAGCCUGCAAGUGAGUGAUCACUGAAUGGGAGGCAUUACUCUCCUGUGAUCCCACAACUGAGCACAGAAAGGAGAUGAGAUUUGACACCAAGACAAUUUGAUAUCCAAGUGUGAUCUAUGGGCCAUAGAAUUGCCUAGGUUUUAUUAAAAUGCAGAUUCUCAGGACUCAUUAUAGCCUUUUUGAAUCCAAAUCCUUAAGUGAUUAUUUUUACUGAGUGAAUGGAUGCAUGGACCAGUAUUCUCUCCAAUUUAUAGAUACCCAGAGUCCUAGCUUGAGACAGUUAUCUGUCCUCCGCUUUUAUACUCUGAAACUUCCUGGGGCUAAGAAGAGAACUGAAAUCCCCAAACACCCUGCCUCAAAUCUCACAGGUUUCCGUUCAGCUCUUCAUUCUACCCUUCAACUCCUAUGCAGCCAACCAUCAUACCAGUUGAUUCUAAGUGCUGGGAGCCUCUGUCUACACUUACUCUCCACCUCGCUCAGGCUCCAUAGGCAUGGUGUCUACCUGCUGGCCCAUCCUGGGAAGUCAUCCCAACGUGACAGAAUGGAAAAGAGAGGGCAUGGAAGACUAGUUCAUAGGUAAGGGCAAGAGGGACCUCGCAGAUGGUAAGGUGCUCUGUGGAGAAUCAGUUUGUCCAACUGAUAAACAGAAAACAGUACAAAGAAAUGUGCUAUCACAGAACGAUCUUAAGCACUGGAACCAGUCAGUCCCAGAUUCAAAUCCAGCUCUACCCUUCUCUAGGGAUGGUUUUCUUAUUCUCCAUCUCCUCCCCCUUAAAAUGGGGAUGAUAAUACCUCCUCAUGAGAGGCUGUGAGUAGCUGAUGGGAUAAUUUGUGUAAAUUGGCUAAUAAAGUAUCUGGUAAACAGUAGGGUCCCAAUACAGGAAGCUUGAGAUGGUAUUAAAUCACUGGUCAGGCAAUAGAUGCUCGAGACAGUAUGACAGCCACUAGCCACAUGUGGUUAUUUAAUUUAAAAUUCACUUCCUCAGUUGCACUAGCCACAGGCCAAAUGCGCAAUAGCCACAUGUGGCUAGUGGCUACCAUGGCGGAAAGCAUAGAUAUGGAACAUUUCCAACACCACAGAAAUAGCACUGCUAUUAGCACACCACAGGAUAGCACUGCUCUGGGGUUCUGAAUAAGAGAUACUCCCUGGGUCCAGCAGCACGGAUACUGGUCUGGAACUGCUCCCCUGACCAUAUCAGAGGUAUGUGCCUGUGACUGAAUCAGCUGGUGCUUCACUAGAGACUGUGUCAGACUAUAUGGGCUCCCAAUUCUUUCCUUUGCCUCCCAUUCAGUGCUCACCAGUACUAGAGUGGAUCUUGAUGCUGAUCACCACAAACCCAGGCCUCCCAGCAGAUUCUUUUUUUUUUUUUUUUUUUUUUUUUUGAGAUGAAGUCUCGGUCUGUCACCCAGGCUGGAGUACAGUAGUGGUGUGAUCUCGGCUCACUGCAACCUCUGCCUCCCAGGUUCAAGCUAUUCUUCUGCCUCAGCCUCCUGAGUAUCUGGGAUUACAGGCAUGUGCCACCACACUUGGCUAAUUUUUGUAUUAUUAAUAGAGACAUGGUUUUGCCACAUUGGCCAGGCUGGUCUCGAACUCCUGACCUCAAGUGAUCUGCCCGCCUUAGCCUCCCAAAGUGCUGGGAUUACAGGCGCGAGCCACUACACCUGGCCACAGAUUUUUUAGACCCCUCCUACAGCCAGACUUCUCCCACCAUCUAACUAACCCCUCUCCCUUACCUCCCUGCUCACAAUGCUUAUCCCUCUCCAGCAAAGAGUCUCUGCUCUGGAAGACAUUAUCUCUUCCUGUUCCCUCUACAAUACCUAACCAUCCUAUUCCUUUCUAUGCAUUUGCGUAUUUUCGUUAUUCACAUUGCAGAUGCAUUCCUCAUUUUUCUCUUCCAGCCACACUAUGCUCAGCUUUCCAUUCCAGCUCAAAUUUUUCUUCCCAAAAGCUCUUCCUUGUAAGCCCCGUUCCUGGUGAGUUCCUGGUCCAAGGGGACUGUUCUCCUCAGUUCAUUUACAGCCGUCACUGAAUUGCUCUGCUAAUACUUUAAAGCGUGUUCAGCUUUCCUCACCUGGCUGGGUACCUGCUGAGGAAGAUGUCCCUUCAAUGUUUGGUUGGAGUCUUUUGAAGCAGAACAGACCUAAGACAAAGCUGUGAAAGAGGGCCCCAAAUUAUACCCAGUAUCUCCUCCUUUUACCACUCAUUCUUCCAGAGUUCUCUCCUACCAUAUGUGCCCACCCAGAAUUUGUCCUUGCAAGGACCCUUCAACGCUCACAGCACAGUCUCAUCUUAGCCUGUUCUCUCAGGAUGCAGGUGCUUACUAGCUGGAAAACCAGUUGAUGCUACUGGGUGUGGACUGGUUUAAACCAGCGGUUCUCAACCCUGGGGCUACACACUGGAAUUCCCUGGGGGUUUUGAAAAAAAUGUGAAUGUACAGAUGUCCCCUAGACCAGCUGAAUCAGGAUCUCCAGGGUGAGGCUGUGGCUACUAUCUGUCUUCCUUUCCCAAGGUAAUGCCAAUAAACUAUUUGCCCAAGCUGGGAAGAGACCAGGGCAGCCACAUGACAGAGUAGUUAAGAGAGAGGUUCUGGAGCAACAUUGUCAGUUCAAUUGCUAGCUCUACCUGUGUCUGUGUGGUCCUGGGCCAGCCUCUGAACUUACCUGUUCCCUCCUCUGUAUGUGGGAAUAAUAUUCAUCAUAGUACCUCCCCAUGGGGCUUCCAGGAACAUCAGUUGAAUUAAUACCCAUCAAGUACUUAACACCACAGUGUGGGCAUAUAGAAAGUGCUCAACAAAGGUUUGCUAUUUUUUUCUUUCUUUUUGAAACAGAGACAGGGUCUUGCUCUGCUUAUCCAGGCAGGAAUGCAAUGGCAUGAACAUAGCUCACUGCAACCUCGAAAUCCUGGGCUCAAGUGAUCCUCCCACCUCAGCCUACUGAGUAACUGGGACUAUAUGCGCGUGGCAUCAUGCUCAGCCAAUUUUUUAAAAUUUUUAGAGGCAGGGUCUUGCUAUGUUGCCCAAGCUGGUCUCGAACUCCUGGAUUUGAACGACCCUCUCAUGUCAGCCUCCCAAAGUGCUGGUAUUACAGGUGUGAGUCGCCAUGCCUAGCCAAGGUUUGCUACUAUUAUUCCUUCUCUCCAACCUUCUCCCUGUAUUCUUUCUGAACUCCCUUUCCCUAUCAAAGCCCCAUUUCAGGCCUGGUGUGGGGAAAUGCAGCACCAGGUGAGCAUGUGUUGGUGGGGAGGAUUUGGGGAGACACAUCCCCACUGCUUACUCUACCUGUGCUGGGAACUGCACAAAGAAUGGGGGUGAAGUGGGUGAGAGGCCAGUUGGGAACCCAAAAGCUGUCCUCUACAAUUCUUUUUGAAGGCUAGGGAGAUCCCACUCCUACUUCAGGCCAUGCAUUGGAACCAAAGUUGAGGUGGGGGAGAGUGGUGGCUGCACAGAUACCAUAGACAAGCCAAGACCUCCCUGCCUCGCCCUGUCCUGGCAUGAAGGCACAGGUCUGUAACUACAGCAGCUUUUCCCAGUACCAUCUGACAUUUCUUCUGAAUUUGCUUUAGCGCCUAGCAGAGCACUCCAUAAACUCUCCUAAAGUAGGUAGGAAGGGUAGGAUGGGGUAUGGGAUAUGAGGGUCAGAGGGUCAGACCAGAAAGGGUGGAUUAUUAUAAAACAAGUAGUCCUAAGAUUCUGAGGAUGGGCAGGUGUACCCUAAAAGGGAAGCAGUGGGAUUCCCAAGUAAAUACUUCAUCUACUUCACAAGUUUGCCCAAGCCCAGCUCAGGAACAGUAACAAAUGGAAAUGAGCAGGGAUGCCGGCUGUGGACAAGCAGACCCCCUAGGUAGAGUCCACCCCACCUUCCCAUUACCACAGGAAUUAUUACCUUACCACCCAUAGGGGAGGGGGUAAUUGUGGGCAAAUUUGAUGGGCCCAGUGGGACAGUCAGAAACAGCCUGCCUAGAGCCCUAAUGUACCCACCCACAUAGCUGUGACAUCCUCAGCCCAGCCAGGCUAGCCCAGGAUAUAUGGUGUGUGUAGCGCACUCUGCUAUUUUCCUCUCCUUGAAUGUCCUUGAGGACCCAGUUCAGGUGCCUCUGCUGGGACACUCCCUGUGACACUACCAGCCUUCUCUGAUCUACUCUUUCUCUUGACUCCUAAGACUUACUGUCAGGCUCUCUGGUCACCUGAUCAAUCCCAGGCUUGUGAUACCUCAUAUGCUACCUUGUACCAUUAUUUAACUUUUAGUUCAUGUGUAUAAUUUUCCUACUGAAGCAGUAGGAGCUUGAGGCCAUGGCUCCUAAAGCUUUGAAACCCAUGCAGCAACUGAAAUAGAGCUCAGCAUUCAUUCAUUCACUCACUCACUCAAUAGUUAUUGAGCACCUCCAACAUGCGAAGCACCGUGCUAGGUGCUGGGGAUUUGGCAGUGAACCAGAGAUGAAUUCUACAUUGAAGCCACUUAGUAAAUAUUUGUUAAACAGAUAGACGAGUGGAUGGAGACAUGGAUGCAUUAGUAGUGAGUGGAUAAUGUCUCUAUCUGUGGCAUCCCUUCUGCUCUAUGUUACCUCAGAGAAAAAUCUCACUUCUUUACUCUCCGUGAUCCCACAACUGUUCUGGAUGGGGGAAGUCCCAGGAAGUUUAGUCUCAAGUGGAGAGUAGGGAGAGAGGAAACUAAAUUCAGAGGGGUAGUACCCACUUAAAGGCAUCCAUAUGAUGAGUGCUGGGGCCAGAAGAGACUGGAACCAAUGAGUCAUAGGGUCUCAGGGUCUUCAGACAUCAUAUGGGGCUGCUACAGGGAUCUUUUCAGAGCAUCCCCUUCAACAGAUGUUCCUCAGCCUCCAUGCUAACUCUCAAUGAUGGGGCACCUGACACAGGCAUUCCACUGCUUGCCCCUGGUGAUUUCCCUCAUUCUCACCUCUAAGUAACAUCCAAAAUAAAACCAGCCCAGCCUUGGGCCAUGAUAUCCUAACCCACAGCAUGUGCACAUGUACCCACAUCUGCAUAUCUGCUCUACCUCCAGAUCAAAAUAGCAACCAGGGAGAUUGGCAGAGCCUGGAGUACCAGGCUGUCUUCCCAGUUUGGGACUGGCUGAGGCACUGUGACUUCAGUGAGAGUCUGGGCCCAUCCUCAGUCUAGAAAAAGCUUAUGCAAGGAUGAGGGUAGCCUAGAGAAAGUCCAGAAAACCACACAAAUGACCACCUGUUGAUUCCAAGGCGGAGACAGAGCACUUUCUCCUUUUAAAAACAGUAUCCUCUCCUCUCACUCAAGCUUAGCCUGCUCAACUGAACAGCCAGGAAAAGCUGCUGGUGUUUGGUGAUUUGAAGGGAAGGGGGUCUGAACCUCAGAAGCUUGUCACUUACUGGGGACCCUGAUGAGUUUCUCUCUGUUGUCCUGCCUUAUCCCUAAUCUAGCUCCCUGAUCAUUUGAAUGUAACCCUAAUUGGACAAGAAUUUUCUCCCUUUCAGUAUGGACAAAAUCAACAACCAUGAAUCAGAGACUUUUAGAGGAUGGGUAGUGAAGUGGGGGAAGAACAGAACAUUGUAGAGUGAGGGGCAGAGAGGCAGGCAGUGGGCAUGGGUAGGUUCUGGUUUUGUGAUUAGUAAUAUUAUCUCUUUAAUUGAAAAAAAUAAACUCAUUUCAGAUUCGUAUAAUUUCACUAAGUGUACAGUUUUUUCAUGCAGGUUGGUUCACGUGGUCUUCAAACUGUCCUCUCUCAUCUGGGGCCCAGUGAGGAUACCUCAGGAAAGAGCAAGUAGCUAGUGUAAAGCCAGGAUCCAGGUCUUCAAACUCCCAGUCCAGUGCUCUCUAACUACCCACUGUGUUCUCUAAGCACUUGAGGGAGGAAUCCAUGCCUUAGUCAUUAUUGUACCUCCCCCAACUCCACCUCAGCACUUAGUUCAGCAUGAAGCAUGCAUCCAGUAUAUAACCGUGGAGCGGAAGGAGCUGAAAUGUACAUGAUCCAGGGAGGAAAUCAGCAGUGGGAAUGCAGAUGCUCUGAGGCUUUGGGCAUGGGAGCAGCAGAAGAGAGCAAGGCUGAGUAGUGGGCAGGGAGGGUACAGACACAGUUGCAAUAAGGAAAGGGUGGGCAAUGCAACAGUGGGCAGGUGUUGCCUGCCCUUGGAUUCACUAUGCUGGGGCCAAGCAGCUGGUUAGAAACAAAAACAAACACCAGGGAUACAGGUUCCUGCUGUUAACAGCUUCAAACCGCCAGAGGAAAACUCCAAAUAAAUAUAAUUAGAAACUUGUAAAAACGUCCUCUCUGUAAACCUGCUCCCCAGGGUCUACCCUUCAAGCACUCCCCUUCCCCAGCCCUCCCCCCAAUGCCCACAUAUCCUGAUACUCCCCACUUUCAGAGGGAUUCCUUAGAUGUGUUUCCUUAUCCUGGAUCUUCCCUCCAGCCCUGCAGCCCCUGCCCAGGUCUUUCCUCAGCUUGUUACCACCAGUGACCAGACCUGAAGAGCCCCUGGUGUAGGCUCAGAAAUCCAAACCCCACAGCUCUCUAGGGCUAUGGUUAUAACCACAGGGAAAACCAGAGGUAAGAGCAAGGACCACUGUGCCCUAUAUAGGGGUCAUCAUCCCAUUUGUUCAGCCAAAGCACAGCAUCUAACAGCAACUACAAAGCAGUGCUUGAUCUGCAGGGGGACAUGUCUAGGCUAGGGCAGAAUACAGACAGCUAGUCUCAGAGCUAGAAACACGGAAUCCUGGGGCCCAGAUCCAAGAAUAUUCAGUUCCCAUAACACGGAUAUUUCAGCUCCACUUCCCAACUUUGUUGGAUACACACAUAUAGAAACACACAUGUGUUCUUCAGGGGCUAUUUCCAGGGAUAAAUACCCACUUCAUGGACACAGUAAGAACUAUCAGCUACUUGGGGUUCCAGGAAACUGGGGUGGGGGAAGAAAGGAAGAGUAUCCAGAUGACCUAGCCUCAGGCAGGCAGAAGUGGACCAGCAUCCAAGGAGGAGAGCGCCUGAGAUUUGGGUGAGUAACCUGUGGAGGCCCGGCGCCUUCUGCCUUCAGCAGGAAGGAUUUCAGUGAGAUGUGCAGAAUCUCAGGGCUGCAGGGAACCCUACUGAUAUUUUACAAGUGAGAAGAGGGAUUUCAGUGAUUUCCUCCGAGGCUCAAAUCCUUAGGCUCUGCAUUUGUCUAAACCCACUGGCACCAUAUACCUCUAUAUCCCCGGUGCCACUUGAGGCUGGCAUUGGGUGGGCAUAGGAACAGGAGAGUAGCCAGUCCAAUGUUAAGUGGCCAGUGGGGGAGGGGAGUCUCUGUCCCCUCUUAGCCCAGGUGACUAGCUCCUGUACCCCCUAGACAUCCCUGGGUUGGCCGUUGUUUCGCUUCUAUACCCAAGGCCCAGCAGUCCUUCUGUUUCCAGACUCCAGUCUUCUGAGCCUGAAGAAGCUGUCCCCAGGUCUGGGCCUCUUGCAGGCACUGCCAGCCUCAGAGCAGCUCUGCAGUUUCCAGCCCUGACAGGGACUCUUUCUUAUAAGUGGUCAUGUGCUAGGGAUACGGGAUGUCAAAGGAGGCCCACACCCUGACAUUUGGGGACCAGAGCUGGGGGAAAGGACUGAGUGAGUUCAGGCAGCAAGCUCUUCCAGCUCCAUCUUCUCAAAAGGUCUGAAGCCCUUCGUUCCCUUCCCCUGUCCUCAGUUCAAGGCACUGGACCAAGCCAUUCCACUUCUUUACUUCUCCAACUAAAACAAAAUGCAUAUUGCCCCACUUCCUUUUUCCUCUCACCAGAGCACUUCACACACACACACACCCUGAGUCAUGCACACACAUUCACACGUGUGUGAAUGCACACUUCACAUUCCCAAACUCACACCCAGGGCCGGCUCCUCUUACAACAGGUCCCAGCUGCUCACAUCUCAAACCGGUUCUCAUGCUCUCAGAUUCCUGAAGGUUUCAAAAAACAAUCUCAUUUGAGGGCUGCUGAUGACUGUCUUCUUUCUCUGCCUGCAGUAAUUCUGGCCUUAGUGUCUUCUAGUCCCCUUUCUCUUAUUCCACCCUGCAGAGACUCAAAGAGAUGAGAAGGAAGGGGUUGAAAACAGGGAAAAGUCUCUGUACUCUCCCACCCCGAGGCUUUCCCCACCUCUGAGACAUGUCAUGAGAGAAGAGAGGUCAAAGGGAUUCCUGAGGAAUUUCUAAGCAGUCCACCCUCUUCUCCACCUUCUGGAAAAAUGGGGGUGGGCUUAGAGGGAACUGACUAAAGAUCAGGCUCUGAGUGGGGACUCUCCCUCUCUCCAGUGUGGCCUGGACAGGGCACAGGCAAUAGCCGGCUGCCCACGGGGCCACCCUUACCCGCUGACAUGGUUAUGGUUUUCAUUUCAUAUUUUGGAGGGAGGGGCUAGUAGGAACAGUCCCCUCACUGUAAGAGCUGGCCACAGGAGCCCAGGGAAGCGGGGAGGAAAGGAAACAGCCACAUUAAAGAGGAAGAGAAGGGUGGGAGAAAGAAAGAGACACAUACACCCAGACAGAGACCCGGAGAGACACACCGAGACAGAGAGACACUGUUUGCCACCACAUGAACGCUCUCAGUCCCAGGGAUGGGGUUACUUGGAAAUUCUAAAUGCAUGACUUUAUCAAAACUCUAUCCCUAACAAGGAGAGAAAACUACCAGGUAAACUAAACGGCCAGGCUGGCUCUCCUGGAGCCAGCCCUGGGGACAAGUUUCCCUGGAGGCCGAGAGACCUUUUCAUUCAGCUGUAACCUGAGCCCUAUGCGAGGAUUAGGUCUUUUUAACCACUGCUGCACACACCCCCCCCCCCGCCGCGCCUCCCCCCCGCCCCCCCCCCCCCCGCCAAACACCCACCCCCUUACCAAAAGCAAAGCAAAUUAAUGCUUUUAAGUUAACAAUUAUCUUGGUUAUCCAGUCUGUCUACUUUAAAAUAUACAGACAAGCACUUGAAAAACACUCAAAACCAUGUCCCCUCAUGCUCCCUCCCUUCCCAGUCACACAGGCUUACCCACCUACUCUUCCAUACAGUUCUCACAGACACUAAAACAGCAGUUUACCCUUAGCAACUACGUCACAAGAAACACAGACAUCCAGCUAUGUUGCCUGUGGGUAACUGUGGUGAACCUCUCAUGUGUGCACAGUCGCACACUCACCUUUACACUUAGGGCUCCCUUCCUUGUCUCCCCCUUUCCCCCCUUCCACAUGACUUUGGUUUUCCCAUUGUGGGAAUCACUGAUGAAAAGGGACAGAAACCCAGAUACCCCCAGAGGUAUAGUAACUCCGUGCAAGAUACUUGCCAAGGGUAUUUGAUUUUAAAGACCUGCUAGUGCUUUAUAUAAAGCAUGUGGCAUUAAAGGCACACUUUCUGGCACUGCUGAUAACCAGGAGAUAUGUUUGAAGGUAAGGCCUCCCUGAUGCUCACAGACUGUGUCUAUGGGUAAGGCUGUAAGGUUGCCCCGCCUGGUCAGUACUAGUUCUUCCUGCAGCAUCUGCCUGCAAGUUUGUGUCCAGAGACAUCCCUGUAACCCAGCAAACCUGCUAUUAGGCAACCUCUGGCAGAUGGGGUUUGUAGAUUUCCUGAAGAGAAGGGUCAAUGAAAGGCUUCCAUUCUAGGCCAAGCUUAGGGAUCAGAAGAAAAGAAGGAGGAUACCAAGCUAACUGCGGUCCAGUCACAGGAAGGGUGGCCUGUGAAUGAGAUAAGCUGGGGACAAAAACUACUCUAAGUUCCUUGAGGGCAGGGGCCUUCACUCUGGCAGCAUGUUCCUCAGUACCCAGCAGGGAGUCCAAUGAAAGUGGAAGCCCUGGAGUACCAUGCAGGGAUUCUGACUCCCGUUCCUGAAUCAUGAGCUGAUCUCCCAUACUUGAGUGCCUUGGCUUGAUGGCACCUGUCCCUUGGAGGGGUCUCCAUCUGCCCCUGGGCCCCCCUCGAAUACACUGCUUCUCCUUUGGUCCACAGCCUCACUAGGCCACUACAGACACUGGCUCCAACUUGAAAGAGGCCCUUAUCUUGUCUCUAGGUUACUUCAUGAUAUCUGUUCCUUCCUUCAGACUAAACUCCCCACCUAAUUCCAUGUUAUGAGUAAGUCAGCACACACUACAAAAGCCAGCUUUGUUUAUGAAAACACAAAUCCACAGUGAGGAGAGGGGCUGCUCCCAGGUUGGGGGUGGCAGUGGCGAUGCGCUGUCUGGAACCAGGACUGGAAAAGAGGCAGUGUGGGGCUGGAAGGUGUGGGGGCAGGGUCCAGUAUUUGACAGCUGAGGAUCUCUAGUGUUUCAGUUCUGUGAAAGGACAGGUUGGAGGGGGAAGAGGUUAGCUGAAGAGGCAGUGUUUGGGGAGAGGAGGGCGGCAUUGAUACAGCACCUUCCUCUUCACAGAGCAGGAGCCCAUCCAAUACAACAGAGCAGCUUAAGAGCCAAACGCUCAGGCUCUGGGACACAGCGACCUGUGUCGGACACUCAGGCUUCCCCAACUCCCAAGUUCAACUUUCCUUCUGGCCCAGCCAUCUCCUCACCCAGCUGGCUUCAGGAGCCCCUGGGACAAUAGGCAGAAUCAUACUCUCCUGGGCAAAACCUUGCCAGGAGGAAUUUUCUUUUUGUCCAUAUAAAUCUCUUGUCGGUGAGGACACGAUGGGGGAGGGGUACAGCAAGAGGUCAAGGGGGAGGAGAAACUGUCCCGAGAGAACUGUAGUACAUCAGCCUAGUCUCUGCCUGCACAGCCUUGGGACCUGCCAGGCGAUGAGCUGGGGGUCAGGGACGGGGGCGGGAGGCCUCCCUGUCUCUCUUUAAUUCCUAGAGGGAUCUGUCAGAGCUCCCCGGCCUGGAAUUCUACUUUGUUAUUUUAAUGCAAUUCUGACCUGGAUUUAAAUGGAAUUGGAAACCCGAGGCCUUAAUAAAUAAAUAUUAUGAUAAGAAAUGAAAGCCAUGCAAGACGAAAGAGAUUUCACCCCAAAGAGGCAGAAACGCAACAUUCCUGUCGGGAGCCAGUCACAGAAAUUUUCUUCUCUUCUUCAGCCCCCUACCAUCCGGUGAGAGAUGAGUUGAUUUUUCCAUAAAAGAUCCUAUUUUUCUUCAACAUUUUUCCACUGAUAAGGCAUCAACUUAGAAAUGUCUAACUUUGCAUGCGGGUUGGGGGUAAGGGAAAGAAAUAUACGGCACGGCUGAAAAGUUUUCAUUAUUCCCUCAGUCUCUCCAGGCCACAGCGUAAGUUUCUGGCAAUGUUUGAGAGAAGAGAAAAUUCUCUCUCAGAUUUUGGAAGACAAGAAGUCUUUCGAAGAUGCUGGGAGUGGAUGAAGUCGAGCGGAAUUCUGAGGCGCGUGGUCUCUUCUGCCCACCGCCCCCAAGAGUUUCUCACUCCUCUCUGCCGCCCCCAGCUUGUCCGGCUUUUCGCUCGGGGCGCAGCGCCCAGCGGUCGGGCCCCUGGCCGGGGAGUCCGGGUGCACAGAGCCGGGUUCUGACAGCAGCACGCUCCCCAGCACCUGCCCUGCCCCUCGGGAAUCGCUCCUAGGCCCUGAGGCCCAGCAGCCAGGACAGCCCCCAGGCCGCGCGCCCCUCCUUCCUUACCUUGCGCGGCUUUGCUGUACUGGGCGGCGCGGGCGUGGACCAGCAGGACAAGCAGGCAGAGCCCGGGUACGCGCCCCGAGCCCAUGGCUGGAGCUACUGGCGGCCCAGCCGCCGGGGCCGGUCUCGCGGCCAGGGGAGGGCGGAAGCCGGCCGGAUCCCAGCUCGCAGGAGGGGGAGGGGAGGGGGCGCCCCGCCGGGGCCAGGCCGGGGGCUGCAGUCGCGGGGCGCGGACCGCGGCGCCCUCGGCGCGAGGCUCCCGAUGCUACCGGCUCCUCCUGGCCGGACGUCGGGGAGAGCGAGGCGGAGAGUGCGACGAGGCGAGGGGCGCCAGGGGCGACUGACGGAGGGGAACCCCCGCCCUCUCCAAGCCGGCCUCUGCCAGCGGCGGCGGCGGGGCUGCUCCGUGUAAUCCCACCCAAUUCCCAGCUUCGCCGGGAGAGAGCUGCAGCCGGAGAGCGCGCAGAGCCCGAGCGAAGGACCUGAGAAAGGGGAGGGGAAACGCAGCGCCAGAAACACGCCCUUUCUGCCUCUCUUUCUUCCUCUCUCGCUCUUUCUCCGUCUCUCAGGCUCUUUUUCUUCGCCUUUCUCCUCCUCCUCCUCUUUCUCCUCCUCUCCUCGCUCCUUUUCGUUUUCUUCCUCCUCCCCCUCCUCCUCCUCCUCCUCCUCCUCCUUCUCCACCACCUCCUUUUUCGUGCCCUUUUUUCUUUCAAAUGGGGCCUCGGCGCGGUGGCCGCUCCCCCUGCGCGCCCGGGCGCGGUGGCCCCCUCCCCAGGCUGCCGGGCCGCUGCCUGCAGGAAUUUACAAUCCGGCGAUGGGGGAGCGGGCCUGGUCUCCAUGGAGACGGCUUCCCCGGGAGCAGGGAGGUCAGGCGCAGACCGCGCGCAAUCAAUGGAUCAAUGCAAGCUCCGCUCGGCUCCAGACCAAACAGCACCGGGCUCCGACUCGUCCUCGCUCCCCUAGGAAAGAGUCGGGGAGCGAGGGUGCGUCCCCGCGCUCGCUCGCGAGGACGGCCGUGCGGCGCCAGGUUUGAACGCACACCUCCACCCGAGACAAAGAGGGUGCGAGGUGUUGGGGAGGCUGGGGCAGACGUGGACACACGGACACACGGGCACUCGGGCGUGUCCACCGACACAGCCUGACAGGGGACAUAGGACCUCGGAACACACCGCCUCCGACACCAGGCCGAGUAACAACCUCUCAACUUUUACACCUACCACACCCCCAACCUCAAGACUCAGUCCCCAUUCCUAGAUGCGAGUCCACUUUGAGGACCAAAAAGAAAGUAGCCUCCGCCUGCUAAAACUGCCAGCUCCAGGGCAGACUCCCUUGCAGUUAAGGCCUUGGAGGUAAGCCUAAUGAACCACCCUACCCGCAGAGACAUGGACUCACAUACAGACACUCUCAUGUGGUCAGCACAGGGGCGAAAGCUACCCCACAGAAUCAUGUCUAUGUGUAUAAACACAGAGACAUAGAGACAGGUACAAGAGGCUCCUCCAAACCUGCACCCCGCUUCAAGAGGUGGUCCUGACUGGUCCAUUCUGAACCCUUCAUCCUUCCAACUGAGGGGAAGCAGAGGAAAGAGAAAGGAUAUUUUUAAAACAGGGGCAAACCGCAGAAGGAGCAGGGUCUUCCAACCAUGGAUGCUGCCUCUUGACUGUUCACCCACUCUGUAUCUUCUUUCCUUCCAUUGUAAGGGAAAGAGGAAAGACCUCUUGAAAGGCUAUGAAGACUUUCUUGGAGUGUGAGGCUGUGUUCAGAAUGAGACCAGGCCAGGUCCAGUUUUCUACAGGGAAGAUGCUGCUAGGACCCAGACUAGCCUCACAGAGCCCUCAGCGUACCCAGGAGGAAGAGGCAAUGACCAAGAUCUCCUCAAAGGUGCCGCCAUCUAACAUACCAUCCUUCAGCCCUUGGUGAAGUCCUGAAGCCAGACCUCUGGGAGUCUACUCAGGGAACCCACUGCCUCAAACAAAUUUGCAAAUAAAAUUAUUGUAUUUGAAAUAGGCCCACAUUGGUGAAGUUAAGAUGUGGAACUAAUUGUAUGUGUAUUUCUAUAUAACCACAGACUCAAUGUUUGAUGUUUGACAUUUAUUGUGCACUUACUAUGUACCAGGGACUUAAAGGAUGUGGGGAUUCAAAGAUGACAUGGUUUCUCCUUUUAAGUUUAUGAUUUGGCAAGAGAAAUUCACAUCUAAAUAAUUGGAAUAUAAGGCAGAAUGUGGUAAAUGUCCAAACAUGGAGGUGCCAACAUAAAAUUCUAAUGAGGGCAUAAAGAGCACAGAUUAAUUCCAGCUGGAAGCAGGAGGACAACUCAGUGGAGGAGGAAAGGGUUUAAAGCUGACCUCAAAGAAUAUAUAGAAUUCUCAUACAUGGAGUUGGGUGAAGAGAGUGAGGGCUUUCCAGGUGGCAGGAACAACAUGAGCAAAGACUUGGAGAGGAGAAUGUCUUCAGGGAAUUAAUAAUUGGUUCAAUCAGAGACAAGUAUUUCAGAGAGUGUGGAGGAAGAUCUGAAAGGUGGGAUGGGGCUAGACAAUGAAGAGCCUGUUUCCAUCAGAUGCUAAGCGACUGACAGUGUUGCAUAGGCUCCGGGAACCCGGCAACUUUACAGCAAAGUAGCAGCAUGGCGGGCUCACUUCAUGAAUUAGCUUUAUGUGUGCUCCAGGAUUUCUUCAAUGUGUUGAUUUUUAGUGAAUUUAUUUCAUCAUGAAUGCAGGAAGAGAACAGAAAGAAAAACGGGGAAAAGAGGACAUAAAAAGAAGUGGGCUGGGCAUGGUGGCUCACACCUGUAAUCCCAGCACUCUGGGAGCCUGAGGCAGGCGGAUGACGAGGUCAGGAGAUCAAGACCAUCCUGACUAACACAGUGAAACCCCAUCUCUACUAAAAAUACAAAAAAUUAGCUGGGUGUGGUGGCGGAUGCCUGGAGUCCCAGCUACUCGGGAGGCUGAGGCAGGAGAAUGGUGUGAACCCCAGGAGGCGGAGCUUGCAGUGAGCCGAGAUUUGGCCACUGUACUCCAGCCUGGGUGACAGAGCAAGACUCCGUUUCAAACAAACAAACAAACAAAAAAGAAGUGACAGGGAGGGAAAUAAUGGACAGAAGGAAAAGAGAGAUGGAGAAGGAAGAGAGAGAAAGAGAAGGAGGCAGCCCUGGAGGAGACAAGGCAAACCCUGAACUGUUCAGGGGCCAAGCUUAAGGAGCUACUUGGGCUUUUCCAGGCAAACGACCUCUGGCUUCUUGCCCUGGCCAACCACAGAGGACAAUGUGAGGCGAGUUUGUUUGGUGAUGUGUUUUCUGCUGGCCCUGUUUGUUUGUUUUUCAUUUUUCUGGUAUUGGACAGAUCUGGGGUGAAGGAAGAGGGAGACAGGGUUGUGGCUGGCAUUGAUAGUGGUCCUUGGGCUGGGCUCUGGGCUGCCCAGAGCCCCCCUUUAGUGGGGGCUUAUGGGCAUUGGAGCUGAACUUUUGAUGUCCCUGGAAGGGGGCCUUUUUGUAGGUGCCCAGAGCCAGGUGGCCUUCCCAAGCCUGGAGAUGGUUUGCCCUAAGCUCUUUGUCUCUGUCUUUCCCCACCCUGGCAAGAAAGAAUUAGUCCUUGAGGCCUGGGCUCCUUGCCUGUGUAGCCAGGAUGUCGUGCUGGGCUGGGGAGCCCAUGGGGGUAGCAAGAGCAGCUGCUUCCAGAUUGGUGCUGGGGAACGCAGGGGCAGUCCACGAGAGCCAGCCUUCUCCCCAGCCCCGAUGAUGAGUCUGGCUUUCUCUCCCGUCCCACAGCCCUUGGAAGCCAACCUAACAAGUUCUAUUAAAGUUAAUGAAACACAAUGAUUCCUCUGUUUGCUUGGUUACAACUCAUUACGAGUUGCUCUUGCUUGCUCGGCUUUUGCAGAGGAGAUUCAUUUGAGUAGCCAGUGCUUGGCCUUUGUCCCCCUAAUUUUUACUGGCCCAUUAACAAGAUCAGACACUUUGGCUGACCAGGAAUAUCUAGUACCCAAGUCCCAACAAAACCCAUUGGGUGGAGUUUCAGAUGACCUUUUGAGUCUAAAUUAGCCUAAAAACAUGCUGCCGCCCUUCCUCCCUCUGUUGCUUCCCUAUAUCCAAACUCAGUUUUAUAUGUAGGUACAAUAGGAGUAUGCAGAGAUUUCAGAAGUUAGGAGAUGCUUUUCCAGCCUCUUUAGAAUGUAUCUCAACCCACUGAUUUAGAGAAGUUCCCUAGUAAGAGCUCCAGCUCGAUUUAAGGGCUUUCCUCCCCCAUUUAAAUGGAAAUAAACUGAACAUUGUUAGUCACUUAUACUUUGGUGUGAAUUAGUUCAUAUUGUCACUUUAAGGGGAUUUGGGAGUCUCCUAAAUUGUAUACAAACUUUUGUCCACAUUAUCCAUUCUUCCAGAGAGAGGUUUUCUAUAGCUUUCUUCAAAAUUUCCAUAACCGUCCCCCCACCCCCUACCCCAACACGUACACACACACACACACAAACUCUCUCUCUCUCAAAAGGUUAACAACCUCUGUGUUAGUAGAAGAGUGGGCCGUAACUGGGGCACAGAAGACAAACUCUCCUUCCUUCACCAUCUGCUUGGCCAGUCCUGCCUCUAAGGAGGGACCUUCCCCUCCUCCUUGAGUUCCUUAUCCACAGACCUCCCAUUGUCACCACAGCUCAAUCAUGUGCUUCCCAAAUCUUAAAACCAACCUCAAGUUGGUGGGGAGGAGUCAAAAGGAGAGCCCUUGAACUCUAUGUUGAUUUACAUGCCGAGGCUGUAAAUGAUAGGUUUACAUGCUGGUGUAAAUACUCAUAAACUCGCAGUAAGUGCAGGGCAUCACAUGCUUUCAGUGUCCAGAUCCUCUGCAGCCCGUACAGGCCUGGCAUUCUCAGGGUCAGGGAGGAGAGCGCCGAGUUGGCAGCAGCUAGCAUGACAGGGGCUGACUAUGACUAUGGAGGAAAAGGGCGUGCUUGGAGUUGGUCUCUAAACCCUCAUCCUCUCCCAUACAGCAGGUGGCUUCUGCACAGUGAUACCUUGGCAUGACUCCCCCUGCUGCUCAGCCAGCCUGACUGUUCUUUUGGGUUAAAGCAUUGUCUCCAGAAGGUCCCUGUUAAAAUGCAAAGGGGCUUCUUGCAGGGUGACUUGGGCUGGUUGGCUGACUGGCUGUCACUCAACAGAAAACAGAGACCCCAGAUCAGGGAGGUUAAGGUUUGGGAGAAAGGUUCAGGUGGGUCAAUACUAUAGCUAUAUGAAGUUGAUUUAAAUGGCUUUCCAGGUGUUCUCCCUAAUUCCACUCUUGGGGGCUGAGAAUCUAUCCUUCAUAUGGCAGCCAGAGUCGUUUUAAAGCUGGGCCAUACAACCUCAACGUGAUUGACGUUUGUUGGGGGGCCAUCCUAUGCAUUGUAGCACAUUUAGCAGCAUCCCUGGCCUCUACCCACUAGGUGCCAGCAGCAGCACUCCCUCCCCACGUUGCGACAGCCAAAAAUGUCUACAGACAUUGACACAUGUCCCCUGGGGGAGGGGAGUGAAAUCAUACCCCCUAUCUUCACUUCCCCCUGCCCCACUGAGAAUCUCCAUCAUAAAGUGUAAGUCAGCCCAUGUUACUCCCUGGUCAAAAAUCCUACCAUGUCUUCUCAUUGUUCUGAGCAUGAAAUCCGCCGUUUGGCCCAGCCUUCAAGGCCUUGUGUAGUCCAGCCUUGCCUCCCUCUCCUGCCCCACCUUGUACCCCUCUGCUGUCAUCUACCAUCACCCUUUAGCCACAUAUAACCCUUUUUGACAUACCUCGAUAAACCAAGCUCUUUCUUGGACAGGGUGGAAGAUGGAGAGAUAUGGGCAGAUUUAGAGUAAGUUUCAGAGGCCCUAAUUUCUUUGGAUUUUACUGGGAGGCCUUUUCUUUUCGCUUUUUUGAGAUGGAGUUUAACUCUUGUCGCCCAGGCUGGAGUACAAUGGCGUGAUCUCGGCUCACUGCAACCUCUGCCUCCUGGUUUCAAGCAAUUCUCCUGAUUCAGCCUCCUGAGUAGCUGGGAUUACAAGCGCUUGCCACCAUGCCCGGCUAAUUUUUGUAUUUUUUAGUAGAGACAGGGUUUCACCAUGUUGGCCGGGCUGGUCUUGAACUCCUGAUCUCAGAACGUAAGCUCCAUCAGAGCAGGGACCAUGUCUGGCUUGUUCACUAUCGUGUCCUCAUCAUCUCCUGUACUGCCUGCCACAUGAACAAUGGCCAUUAACAGGCAUGGAACUGGAGCAGAAAUGGAAUGAACCCUAGGGGCCUGGGAGCCUGGAGGGGUGUAGGAGUGGGGAGGGGAUUGGGGAGACAGGCGGCAGAGGAAAGCGCCUGCCCUCGCCUCCUCCCAUCACCCCCUAUACCCCUGUCCCUAAUGAGGUGCUUCUGGCGGCACCUGACUUUUCCAUUGCAAACACCACUUGACUCUCGGCCCUUCACACUCUCAUGAGGUUCUAAGGGGCUGCACAGGCGCCGCCCACCCCAGCCAUGCCCUGGGACUCACCACACACCAGGAAGGCCGGGAGCUGCAGCAAGGGGACAGCUUAAAACAGCCCCACCAACACCCCAAAGUGGGUCUCCCAGUUCCCCGAGAAGGCCUGGAUGCCCUGCUGAAGGGUGAGCAGGGCCAUGUGGGUGACUUGGAGGACCCAAUUCCCCGGCCAUGGGAACCCCCAGCCUGGGCUUUCUUUGGGGGUAGCUGAGACAACGAGCCCCCACCCAGAGCAGGAGAUGACGCAUUUUUUCUGUGGCCACAAGCCACUUUGACGGGUCCGCCCCACUGGGGAGCAACCGAAACCUCAUCCCACCCAAAGCGGCCUUUGUCUGCACUACAUAUUUGUCUUAUUUGGAAGAUUUUUGUGGGUUUUCCUGUCUUUCUCCAGCGCUCACUGCCCUAAGGGGGACGAAGGCCAUGGCGGAGCUGAGGGAAGGGGGUGAGAGGCAUUCUUGGGGCGCUGUGCCUGGUGGUCUGCAGCACAUUUGGGGGUGGGAGAGAAAUCCACCCCACACACCCUCGGCGCCCCAGUGAUGCCUUGGCCCCAGGCCACACUCUGGGCCUUGCCUGUCCUCUGUGGACUCGUGCCCCUCCUGGUCCUCCCAGAGCUGUUUCCUCUCCAUCUUCUCUCAGCCUCCUCAGCUCACUCUCCAAUACUUCUGUUUAUUCCCUCAUGUUCCAUCCUUCCAGCCAGCUUGGCACCUCAUCAUUUCCUACCUCCCCCGUCAUGGGACCCUCUGCUUUCUUUCUACCUGUCUGAAUUCUGAAGACUCUCCCAGGGCUUGUUCCCCCAUCUUGCCUCCUCCUGGGAGCCUCCCUGGACUACUGUAGCGCUUGGCAGGAUCUCCUCCUUCUGAAAUGUAAAAGUAUGUGUUUUCUAUCCUUUCUGUGAUUCUAAACACACCCUGCCCCUAUACCACCUGCCCAGCUAAAUAGAGGCCAGAGGCCAUGGCUUUUGUGCCUUGGCGUCCAAGCCCCAUCCUGCCUUGUACAAAGCAAUUGCUCAACUAAUAUUUGUUGGUUUGGGGCUUCUUAAGGGCUACCCAUGAGAUUACCAACAAAUUAGAGAAUUUCAGUGAUGGAAGGGACCUAAGAGCUUGAAUUCUUGCUAAGGGGUGUCUGGGUUCAGCUUACAUACCUUUAAUGACAGGGAUCUUACCACUUCCUGGGGCAACCCAUUCCCUUGCCUGUAACUCUGACCAUAAGAAAGUUCUUCCCCACGUUGAGCUAAAACCUGCUGCCUUCUGGCUUUCCCCACCCUACUCCCAACUAGGUCACAUCAAACUAUUCCAGUCCUCUUUCCUCACGACCACCCUUCAGAUAUUUGAGGGCAGCAAUCUCCUACCUCUGCAGUCUUUUCUUUUCCAGGGGGAAACACCUGUAGUCCUAACCUUCAGUGCCCCAAUGCCCCUGAUGACCAUGGACUUUGGGUAUUCCCCCCCACCCCUGUGCUGGGCCUCUCCCACAUCCCUGCUGAACUCAUUCUUCUCACAAAAUCCCC